GGCCGGAUUGCUCAGUCGGUUAGAGCGUGGUGCUAAUAACGCUAAGGUCGUGGGUUCGACCCCCCACUCUGGCCA
rfam:Trichuris suis scaffold25.3, whole genome shotgun sequence.